rnacentral:rRNA from 1 species
GGAUGGACGCUAGCUACAGGCUUAACACAUGCAAGUCGAGGGGCAGCAUGGUCUUAGCUUGCUAAGGCCGAUGGCGACCGGCGCACGGGUGAGUAACACGUAUCCAACCUGCCGUCUACUCUUGGACAGCCUUCUGAAAGGAAGAUUAAUACAAGAUGGCAUCAUGAGUCCGCAUGUUCACAUGAUUAAAGGUAUUCCGGUAGACGAUGGGGAUGCGUUCCAUUAGAUAGUAGGCGGGGUAACGGCCCACCUAGUCUUCGAUGGAUAGGGGUUCUGAGAGGAAGGUCCCCCACAUUGGAACUGAGACACGGUCCAAACUCCUACGGGAGGCAGCAGUGAGGAAUAUUGGUCAAUGGGCGAGAGCCUGAACCAGCCAAGUAGCGUGAAGGAUGACUGCCCUAUGGGUUGUAAACUUCUUUUAUAAAGGAAUAAAGUCGGGUAUGGAUACCCGUUUGCAUGUACUUUAUGAAUAAGGAUCGGCUAACUCCGUGCCAGCAGCCGCGGUAAUACGGAGGAUCCGAGCGUUAUCCGGAUUUAUUGGGUUUAAAGGGAGCGUAGAUGGAUGUUUAAGUCAGUUGUGAAAGUUUGCGGCUCAACCGUAAAAUUGCAGUUGAUACUGGAUAUCUUGAGUGCAGUUGAGGCAGGCGGAAUUCGUGGUGUAGCGGUGAAAUGCUUAGAUAUCACGAAGAACUCCGAUUGCGAAGGCAGCCUGCUAAGCUGCAACUGACAUUGAGGCUCGAAAGUGUGGGUAUCAAACAGGAUUAGAUACCCUGGUAGUCCACACGGUAAACGAUGAAUACUCGCUGUUUGCGAUAUACUGCAAGCGGCCAAGCGAAAGCGUUAAGUAUUCCACCUGGGGAGUACGCCGGCAACGGUGAAACUCAAAGGAAUUGACGGGGGCCCGCACAAGCGGAGGAACAUGUGGUUUAAUUCGAUGAUACGCGAGGAACCUUACCCGGGCUUAAAUUGCAGAUGAAUUACGGUGAAAGCCGUAAGCCGCAAGGCAUCUGUGAAGGUGCUGCAUGGUUGUCGUCAGCUCGUGCCGUGAGGUGUCGGCUUAAGUGCCAUAACGAGCGCAACCCUUGUUGUCAGUUACUAACAGGUUCCGCUGAGGACUCUGACAAGACUGCCAUCGUAAGAUGUGAGGAAGGUGGGGAUGACGUCAAAUCAGCACGGCCCUUACGUCCGGGGCUACACACGUGUUACAAUGGGGGGUACAGAGGGCCGCUACCACGCGAGUGGAUGCCAAUCCCCAAAACCUCUCUCAGUUCGGACUGGAGUCUGCAACCCGACUCCACGAAGCUGGAUUCGCUAGUAAUCGCGCAUCAGCCACGGCGCGGUGAAUACGUUCCCGGGCCUUGUACACACCGCCCGUCAAGCCAUGGGAGCCGGGGGUACCUGAAGUGCGUAACCGCGAGGAGCGCCCUAGGGUAAAACUGGUG